GACGAACGCUGGCGGCGUGCUUAACACAUGCAAGUCGAACGAUGAAGAGGAGAAACGCGAACUUCGGUUCAAAUUUCACUUCGGAUUAGUGGCAGACGGGUGAGUAACGCGUGAGCAACCUACCUCUUACAAAGGGAUAGCCUCGGGAAACCGUGAUUAAUACCAUAUGACACAUUCAUAAGGCAUCUUAAGAAUGUUAAAGCUACGGCGGUGAGAGAUGGGCUCGCGUCCCAUUAGCUAGUUGGUGAGGUAACGGCCCACCAAGGCGACGAUGGGUAACCGGCCUGAGAGGGUGAACGGUCACAUUGGAACUGAGACACGGUCCAAACUCCUACGGGAGGCAGCAGUGGGGAAUAUUGCACAAUGGAGGGAACUCUGAUGCAGCGACGCCGCGUGAGCGAUGAAGGAAUUCGUUUCGUAAAGCUCUGUUCUAUGGGAAGAAAAGGACUGUACCAUAGGAGAAAGCCCCGGCUAAAUACGUG
rnacentral:rRNA from 1 species